AGAGCGAACGCUGGCGGCAUGCUUAACACAUGCAAGUCGCACGGGCACUUCGGUGUCAGUGGCGGACGGGUGAGUAACGCGUAGGUAUCUAUCCUUGGGUGGGGGACAACGGUUGGAAACGACUGCUAAUACCGCAUAAUAACUGAGGUUUAAAGGCGCAAGUCGCCUGAGGAGGAGCCUGCGUACGAUUAGCUAGUUGGUGGGGUAAAGGCCUACCAAGGCGACGAUCGUUAGCUGGUCUGAGAGGAUGAUCAGCCACAUUGGGACUGAGACACGGCCCAAACUCCUACGGGAGGCAGCAGUGGGGAAUAUUGGACAAUGGGCGAAAGCCUGAUCCAGCAAUGCCGCGUGUGUGAAGAAGGUCUUCGGAUUGUAAAGCACUUUCGACAGGGACGAUGAUGACGGUACCUGUAGAAGAAGCCCCGGCUAACGUUCGUGCCAGCAGCCGC
rnacentral:rRNA from 1 species